CAGAAAGUUCAGAUGAAGACGUCAUUGAUGUAACUGAAGCUCAUGCUCUGACUUUCUCAUCUGUUCAGCCUUCAGUUUGUGUUGAGAAUACAUCUCGGAGGGAGAAUAUGAGCAGCAAAAGCACAUUUGUUGAUGAUCACUCACUACCUUCAGAAAGCCACAUUUGCAGAAUCUGUCACAGCUAAGACCAGUGUAUGUGAGGAUACAUAUAGGAAUUAUGUAGAUCUUUUGGAUACUGGAAGUCUUUCAGACGAUUCAGAUUUAAAUGAAGCCGUUUCCCGAUCUAUUGUGGACAUUCAACCUAUGCCGGAAGAAAACUGUUCAUUGAAAGAAAUACUAAACCCCUUGAAAAUUCACUCAGCAGUGAAGUUGUUUGUUACAAUAUUACAAGGAGAAAUGUUUGGGACGGUACUGUCCGAGCCAUGAGCCGACCUAACUUCUCACCAAGCAGAUGGACAUAAAAUAUACUGAUAAUGAAGGAAUUUCUGAAGGUGCAGUAGAUGUCGGUCCAAAACGUGAAUUUUUGCACCUAGUUCUGGAAUACAUUCGGG